rnacentral:rRNA from 1 species
UACGUAGGAUGCAAGCGUUGUCCGGAAUUAUUGGGCGUAAAGAGCGCGCAGGCGGUCUAUCAAGUCAGAUGUGAAAUAUCCCGGCUUAACCGGGAGGGGUCAUUUGAAACUGGUAGACUAGAGUACAGCAGAGGAUAGUGGAAUUCCCGGUGUAGUGGUGAAAUGCGUAGAUAUCGGGGGGAACACCAGUGGCGAAGGCGACUAUCUGGGCUGAAACUGACGCUGAGGCGCGAAGGCUAGGGGAGCAAACAGG